GAUGAAGAACGCAGCGAAACGCGAUAUGUAAUGUGAAUUGCAGAAUUCAGUGAAUCAUCGAAUCUUUGAACGCACAUGGCGCCUUCCAGUAUCCUGGGAGGCAUGCCUGUCCGAGCGUCGUUUCAACCCUCGAGCCCCCGUGGCCCGGCGUUGGGGAUCUGCCCAGGCAGUCCCCGAAAACCAGUGGCGGACCCGUUACAGGCCCUUCCCUUGCGUAGUAGCAUUCGCCUCGCAUCGGGAGCCGGCGGGCUUCCAGCCUCUAAACCCCCAUCAAGUCCGCCCCGGCGGCACCAAGGUUGACCUCGGAUCAGGUAGGUAUACCCGCUGAACUUAAGCAUAUCAAUAAGCGGAGGA
rnacentral:misc_RNA from 1 species